rnacentral:tRNA from 2 species
GCGGUAGUGGCGGAACGGCAGACGCGCUAGCCUCAGGAGCUAGUGGGGGUUGACCCCGUGGAGGUUCAAAUCCUCUCUACCGCACCA